AUUGAACGCUGGCGGCAGGCUUAACACAUGCAAGUCGAGCGGGGACUUCGGUCCUAGCGGCGAACGGGUGAGGAAUGCUUGGGAAUCUGCCCAGUAGUGGGGGAUAACGUUUCGAAAGGAACGCUAAUACCGCAUACGUCCUACGGGAGAAAGGGGGGGAUCUUCGGACCUCUCGCUAUUGGAUGAGCCCAAGUCGGAUUAGCUAGUUGGUGAGGUAAAGGCUCACCAAGGCGACGAUCCGUAGCUGGUCUGAGAGGAUGAUCAGCCACACUGGAACUGAGACACGGUCCAGACUCCUACGGGAGGCAGCAGUGGGGAAGAUUGGACAAUGGGCGAAAGCCUGAUCCAGCCAGGCCGCGUGUGUGGAGAAGGCCUUCGGGUUGUAAAGCACUUUAAGCGAGGAGGAAUGGCUCUUGGUUAAUAACCUUGAGCAGUGACGUUACUCGCAGAAUAAGCACCGGCUAACUCUGUGCCAGCCGCCGCCGUAACAC
rnacentral:rRNA from 1 species